UUAAAGUUUUAUUCUUGCUAGAAUAUUUAUUUUAUGAUUGUACUAUAUACUAAUAUUUAUUUAGAAAACAUGAUUGUAGUGGUAAGUAUUAUUUUUUGAGGUAACUCAGAUAUAGCAAUUCAUAAAUUUCUGGUUAAAGUCGUGCCAGCCACCGCGGUUAUACGUAAGGAAAAAUUAAAUAUUAUUGGUUUAACAGUUAAAUUUGAUUAUCUUUUAAAUUUAAUAUUUUUAGGUGAAAUUUUAAUUUUAUUAUAAAAGGAAGAAUUGAAGCUGUGAAAUUUAUUUUAUAAACAAGGAUUAGAUACCCUUUUAUUUUAAAUGUAAAUUAUAAUUAGGGUAGUAAUAGUUAUGUUCUUGAAACCCAAAGAAUUUGGCGGUAUUUUAUUCUUUUUAGAGGAACCUGUCCUGUAAUUGAUAAUCCACGAUAGGUAAUUACUUAUUCUUGUAUUCAUUUUGUAUACCUCCGUCAUCAGAUUAUAUUUUCAGAUUUAAUAUUCUUUUAAUACAAAAUAUUAUAUGUCAGGUCAAGGUGCAAUUUAUGGGUAAGUAGAGAUGGGUUACAAUAAAUUUAUUUAUACGGAUUAAUUUUGUUAAUAAAGUUAUGAAGGUGGAUUUAAAUGUAAAAUUAUUCCUUUAAUAAUUUGAUCUUAGCUCUAAAAUAUGCACACAUCGCCCGUCGCUCUUAUUUUAAAAUAAGAUAAGUCGUAACAUAGUAGGAGUACCGGAAGGUGUUCCUAGUAAGGU
rnacentral:ncRNA from 1 species